AGUGCUGCUCCUUCACCGACACUCAAGCUUGUCGUUCGACUUAAGUUAUACCCAUCUUGCUGACUUGCCCACUAUGGAAGGGAUGCCUAUGGCGAGGGCUUGGUCGAGUGAGUGCAGCCGUCGCCGAUCUAGGCGAGUACUCGCUCGAGCGUGCGCGGCCCUCGAGCGACUCGUCGCCCAGGUCUGCAAGGGCCACACUCGUCGAAGCCUUUGUUGAUGUGGGCGACGGCUCGCUCGAGCCCUCGCGUUCUGCUCGAGCCCCGUCCCAGCGCUGCUCGCUCGAGCGAGUGUGGCGAGGCGACGAUUCGCUUCGGCGAGCGCGGCCCUCGUCAUUCGCUGCACUCGCUCGACCGACCCGUUGGUGAAACAUUGAAACAGCAAGUUGACGCCGUGAGAUACUUUGUCUCUGCCCCAGUGCCUUUAGUUAAAUGCUUUUAGUUUGAUAAUUUGGCUUGCAACCCAAAAACUAAAGAAAACUCGCGUCACUCCAUCAGGCGUCGGUGAAAUGGAGUUUCGCUAAUCUUCUGGUUUUAUUGCAAAUGAUAGUUCAGGGGAACAAAAGAUCAGAAAUUCCCUUCUUCUCUCUCUGUUUUGUUUGUUAAAUAAAUUUAUGCAGUGUAGUCUGAAGAUUUGUCUAGAUCUAUUUUGGAAUGAACAUUAACUUUGUUGGCAAUCCAAAGUAGAUCUGCGAAUGCCGCGCUCGCCAAUCUGGGUGACGGCUCGCGCUCGAGCCGGAGCCAGCGCUGCUUGCUCGAGUCCUUGCGCUCAAUUUCCUGCAUUAACAAAUACACAUGCCCUUAAUUGGUGAUUGAUUGCCAAAUGCACAAAGUUGAGCUUAGGUAAUUGGUUUUUGUGCUAUCCAGAUCAGUAGACCUAACCGUUCCUCUGAGCAAUGUUGACAUGUUAACAUCAAUGAGGUUCACACUUAGUUUUCUCUUUUGUUGGUUUGCUGGUGUGAGAGCAUGAUCAUUAGUUUUCUGUUUUGUUUUGUUGACUAGGCCCAAGUCGUAGUAUGACAUGUUGGGUUGAGCUUGUGCAUGUCCAAGAUUGGCUUUGGACCAGUGAAAGCUUAUUGAAAAUGAGAGUUUAUCAAGACUGCACUCCAGUUGACUAACCCUUCUCAACCUCCAGCUAAGCUUAACUAUAAGGGCUAGGGGGCUGUCAUGAAUUCAAUUUUUUCCUAUUUGUGUAGUUGAGCUCAAUUUGGUUUUCGCUUACUUCUUGUCAUUGCAAUUGUUUUUUCAUUCUCACUCAACCAGUUUCUACUUGCUCACUUGACCAGUUUCUAAUUGCGUAGAUCCAUUGACAUUGGUGCUUUCAAAAUCUUGCUCAUCUCCAAAAUCUGAUAGGUUUCUCAUAGUGUUCUUUGUUUCAUUUUGGGUAUAUUAUUUCAUUGAUCAUCGAUAGUCAUAGCACUGUGUAGCCCCUGUAGCUCAAAAUGCAAUCUUUGUCAUGUUCUGUACAAGCUAGUUCAAGAAUUGUCAAUGCUUUGCCAUUAGAGUCUUCUCUGCUUGCAUCUCUUGAGAAUGGUCGUGUGUAUUGCAUGUAAUUCAUUCAUUAUUAUGUUAUUACUUUAAUUCAUAACUCAUAUACUGCUCAACUGAUCAAAGGUUAAAUGGCAUCUGAGAAACAAACAUUCAGAGCAAAGUGAACCGAGUCUUUAACCAAUUUGUUUGUAAGUUUGUUGGUAGAGGAGGUCAAAAAGGGGAAUCGCACCUCUUCUACUUACAACAAACCAGGGUGGAAUAACAUACGAUUGAAUUCUUUAAACAGACAGGAUUUCAAUAUAGCAUACUACAGCUCAAGAACAAGGUGAACAAACUAAGAAAACAAUAUGAGAGUUUUAAGAAACUCCUUUCACGGUCUGGAUUUGGUUGGGAUAGUGUGACAAAAACAGUUGUUGUUGAUGAUUCAAGUAUAUGAGAAUCUCACAUCAAGGACAAUGUUGAGUGGGCAAAAUUCAAGAAGGAUGGAUUUCCUCAGCAUCUGGAAUUAUGUAUUAUAUUUUGUGAUACAUAUGCUAGUGGGGAUCACGGCAUGAGAAAUGCGGAAGAUUUGAUGGUGUUGGAGGAAUGUGACAAUGGUGGUGGCAAUGCAGAGGACUUCAAUGAACAUCGCAUUGAUAAGAGAGUCUUUACAUCCAACAAUGUUGCAACUCUAGUUUAUGACAAACACAAGUUGGAUAGGAUUCCAAAUACUAAGAGGAAAAGAAAGAGUAACUCAUUCGGUGUGGCUGAUGCUUGCAAAGCCAUACAAGAUUCGAUAAAACUUAGGAUAAGUCAAUCUACGAGUGAUUCUGUGACCUCAAAGGUCACGCCACCACCUGUAGAUCCUUUCUCGGUAUCUGCUUUGAUUGAUGUCCCAGUUAGUAUGCAUGAGUUAGAGCAAGAUUUUUACAACAAAGCAGUGGAAUGAGCAUGCAUUAGUGAUACAUGGAGGGUGGCUUUUAUCAAAUCCCCACCUGAAAGGAGAUAUGGACUUCUUCGAUAUCUUUAGUAGAUGUUGGGAAAUGUAUUAUGGAUUGCGUGGGGUUUUAUUUGAUUGUAUGACUUAUAUUAUCAGUUAA